GGCCCAGUGGCGGACGGUAUCCGCAUCUGCAGUCAAUAUAUAAACUCAAACGGGAUGCAUGCAGACACCGCUCGUUCGACUCGAGCCUGGGCCG